rnacentral:rRNA from 1 species
AUGAACGCUGGCGGCGUGCCUAAUACAUGCCAGUCGAGCGAACAGACGAGGAGCUUGCUCCUCUGACGUUAGCGGCGGACGGGUGAGUAACACGUGGAUAACCUACCUAUAAGACUGGGAUAACUUCGGGAAACCGGAGCUAAUACCGGGUAAUAUAUUGAACCGCAUGGUUCAAUAGUGAAAGACGGUUUUGCUGUCACUUAUAGAUGGAUCCGCGCCGCAUUAGCUAGUUGGUAAGGUAACGGCUUACCAAGGCGACGAUGCGUAGCCGACCUGAGAGGGUGAUCGGCCACACUGGAACUGAGACACGGUCCAGACUCCUACGGGAGGCAGCAGUAGGGAAUCUUCCGCAAUGGGCGAAAGCUUGACGGAGCAACGCCGCGUGAGUGAUGAAGGUCUUCGGAUCGUAAAACUCUGUUAUUAGGGAAGAACAAAUGUGUAAGUAACUAUGCACGUCUUGACGGUACCUAAUCAGAAAGCCACGGCUAACUACGUG